CCCAGUGGGAAAAGAGAAACCUGAGGGAGAACCACAGUGAAGGACAGAUCCACUAUGGACGGACAGACUGUAGAUGAACCAGGGCCGAUGGACGUCCAUUUACAGAUGUAGUUCCAGUCUGUAAAGAUGCAGCAGGGUGGGGGCACAUGAGGGGGUCCAUCUACUCAGAUGAGGCAGGAAAAGGUGAGUAGG